rnacentral:piRNA from 1 species
UCCUGGACUUUCAGAAAGUGACUUCAUCCCC